rnacentral:rRNA from 1 species
UAGGGAAUCUUCCACAAUGGGUGCAAACCUGAUGGAGCAAUGCCGCGUGAGUGAAGAAGGUCUUCGGAUCGUAAAGCUCUGUUGUUAGAGAAGAACACGUGCUAGGUAACUACUAGCGCCUUGACGGUAUCUAACCAGAAAGUCACGGCUAGCUACGUGCCAGCAGCCGCGGUAAUACGUAGGUGACAAGCGUUGUCCGGAUUUAUUGGGCGUAAAGGGAGCGCAGGCGGUCUGUUUAGUCUAAUGUGAAAGCCCACGGCUUAACCGUGGAACGGCAUUGGAAACUGACAGACUUGAAUGUAGAAGAGGAAAAUGGAAUUCCAAGUGUAGCGGUGGAAUGCGUAGAUAUUUGGAGGAACACCAGUGGCGAAGGCGAUUUUCUGGUCUAACAUUGACGCUGAGGCUCGAAAGCGUGGGGAGCGAACAGGAUUAGAUACCCUGGUAGUCCACGCCGUAAACGAUGAGUGCUAAGUGUUGGGGGCUUUCCGGCCCUCGGUGCUGGAGCUAACGUAUUAAGCACUCCGCCUGGGGAUUACGACCGCAAGGUUG